AUAUUUUGAAUUAAGUAUAUUCAUAAUAUUUUUCAGACAAAGAGUUGAGAUAAUAGUUGAUGUUUGGGGCUGGUCAAAAGAGACCAACCCUGACAUUGCACACAAGGUGGAUAUGGAUUUAAAAAAGUGCCAUAAAACACUUAUUAUGAAUGAUCCUUCCGCAGGUUCACCUACGGAAA
rnacentral:misc_RNA from 1 species